UACGAAGGGGGCGAGCGUUUUUCUGAAUUACUGGGCGUAAAGGGCGCUCAUGCGGCUCUGAAAGUCAGAUGUGAAAGCCCCGGGCUUAACCUGGGAAUUGCAUUUGAUACUCUGGAGCUUGAGUGUGGGAGAGGAGAGUGGAAUUCCCAGUGUAGAGGUGAAAUUCGUAGAUAUUCGCAAGAACACCAGUGGCGAAGGCGGCUCACUGGCCCGAUACUGACGCUGAGGCACGAAAGCGUGGGGAGCAAACAGG
rnacentral:rRNA from 1 species